GAAGAAUCCAGAGAUGGAUUUGUGCCUUCGGGAACUGUGAGACAGGUGCUGCAUGGCUGUCGUCAGCUCGUGUUGUGAAAUGUUGGGUUAAGUCCCGCAACGAGCGCAACCCUUAUCCUUUGUUGCCAGCGAUUAGGUCGGGAACUCAAAGGAGACUGCCAGUGAUAAACUGGAGGAAGGUGGGGAUGACGUCAAGUCAUCAUGGCCCUUACGACCAGGGCUACACACGUGCUACAAUGGCGCAUACAAAGAGAAGCGACCUCGCGAGAGCAAGCGGACCUCAUAAAGUGCGUCGUAGUCCGGAUUGGAGUCUGCAACUCGACUCCAUGAAGUCGGAAUCGCUAGUAAUCGUGGAUCAGAAUGCCACGGUGAAUACGUUCCCGGGCCUUGUACACACCGCCCGUCACACCAUGGGAGUGGGUUGCAAAAGAAGUAGGUAGCUUAACCUUCGGGAGGGCGCUUACCACUUUGUGAUUCAUGACUGGGGUGAAGUCGUAACAAGGUAACCGUAGGGGAACCUGCGGUUGGA
rnacentral:rRNA from 2 species